rnacentral:rRNA from 1 species
CCUACGGGAGACAGCAGUGAGGAAUAUUGGUCAAUGGGCGCGAGCCUGAACCAGCCAAGUAGCGUGAAGGAUGACUGCCCUACGGGUUGUAAACUUCUUUUAUCAGGGAAUAAAGUGGGGCACGUGUGCCUUUUGGUAGGUACUUUGUAAAUAAGGAUCGGCUAACUCCGGGCCAGGAGCCGCGGGAAUACGGAGGAUCCGAACGUUAUCCGGAUUUAUUUGGGUUAAAGGGAGCGGAGAUGGGUUGUUAAGUCAGUUGUUAAAGUUUGCGGCUCAACCCUAAUAGUGCCAUUGAGACUGGCAGUCUUGAGUACAGGUGAGGUAGGCGGAAUGCGUGGUGUAGCGGUGAAAUGCUUAGAUAUCACGAAGAACUCCGAUUGCGAAGGCAGCUUACUAAACUGCCACUGACAUUGAUGCUCGAAAGUGUGGGUAUCAAACAGGAUUAGAUACCCCAGUAGUC